rnacentral:ncRNA from 2 species
ACAGCGUACUGGGGGAGUCGGCGAAAACCGGCUGAGAGGAGACUAGUGGUCUCGACCCCUGGAACCUGAUCCGGGUCAUGCCGGCGAAGGGAAGUCAGACAAAAUCUUC